AUGGAACCGAGGAGACCGACCAAGCCGGCCGCAGAGGAGGAGGGGCCGAUGGAGGCCUGUGAGGUCACCCGCCUGCAAGAGGAGCUCUUGUGGGCAGCGCUGUCCAGCACGUCACCUCGCGACGCCUGCCGUGCCGCAGCGGUCUCCCCGGCCUUCCGUGUGGCGGCCGACUCGGACGCUCUCUGGGCCUGCUUUCUGCCCUGCGGUCGUGACCUUCCGCCGCUCGCUGACGGAGAGUCGACGCCAUGCAGGAAGAAGGACCUGUUCCUCCGCCUCUCCGGCAGCCCCGUCCUCCUCCCAUGCGGACUCGUGAGCAUGUGGCUGGACAGGGAGACCGGCGCCAGGUGCUACAUGGUGCCGGCGAGGGAGCUGUCCAUCGGAUGAGGCACUCUCGCCGACUCGAGGUUUUCCGAGAGUGCUCAACUCAGACUAGUUUCCUGGCAGUAUAUCCGCGGCAAGAUACAUAGCAAGAUGCUCUCCCAAGGCUCAGCAUACUCUGUGUACAUGGUGUACAAGUUAGCCAACGAUUCAUAUGGGUUGACCGACGGUUACUACGGCCAAGAAUUGCCGGUCCAGAAGGCAUCAGUGAGCGUUGGAGGCACUCACCAAACCCGCAAGGUCUGCCUCCAACCUAACCCGCAAAGAAGCAUGAGACGGAACUAUCAUGCAGCGCUUCCUCGCAAAAGAGCUGAUGGUUGGAUCGAGCUGGAGCUGGGCGAGUUUAUUUGCGAGGGGCACGAAUAUGGCGAUGUGUCCUUCGGUCUGUCAGAGAUGAAUGAUUUGAGAAGGAAGAACGGUCUUAUCGUGCAGGGUAUUGAGAUUAGGCAUAAGAUUUGA
rnacentral:rRNA from 1 species